rnacentral:rRNA from 1 species
GACUCAACACGGGGAAACUCACCAGGUCCAGACACAANGAGGAUUGACAGAUUGAGAGCUCUUUCUUGAUUUUGUGGGUGGUGGNGCAUGGCCGUUCUUAGUUGGUGGAGUGAUUUGUNUGCUUAAUUGCGAUAACGAACGAGACCUUAACCUGCUAAAUAGCCCGUAUUGCUUUGGCAGUACGCUGGCUUCUUAGAGGGACUAUCGGCUCAAGCCGAUGGAAGUUUGAGGCAAUAACAGGUUUGUGAUGCCCUUAGAUGUUNUGGGCCGCACGCGCGCUACACUGACGGAGCCAGCGAGUACUUCCUUGUCCGAAAGGUCCGGGUAAUCUUGUUAAACUCCGUCGUGCUGGGGAUAGAGCAUUGCAAUUAUUGCUCUUCAACGAGGAAUCCCUAGUAAGCGCAAGUCAUCAGCUUGCGUUGAUUACGUCCCUGCCCUUUGUACACACCGCCCGUCGCUACUACCGAUUGAAUGGCUCAGUGAGGCGUCCGGACUGGCCCAGAGAGGUGGGCAACUACCACUCAGGGCCGGAAAGCUCUCCAAACUCGGUCAUUUAGAGGAAGUAAAAGUCGUAACAAGGU